rnacentral:lncRNA from 1 species
AGCUUAGUGUAAGCACAGCGUGGGGGAAAAGUGGAAGUGCCACUGUCUGAGAUGCCCUCUCCCUGACAUUUCUUGUUUACAAGAAGCAAGCUUCUCUGAUCUGCUGUUUCACAGGAGUACAGUGCUAGAGGACAGACCCUUUGUGCAGCUGAGUGCCUUGGAUGCUUACAGAAAGCUUCAAAAAGCACCAGAAUUUAUUCAACUUUUGUACAGAAGACUUCAGCCUCAGACCAGAACACAUUACAUGGUGGAGGAUGUAAUGCUUCCUACAUCUGCAUCAGCUGUGCCAUAAAUCAGACAGGUGGCCUGAGUGGCCUUGAGCAUACUGGGGGAGCUGUCUUCAAUGUCCAGUGUCCUUUUAGAUGGCUGUUCCUUGACCCCCACUUUUGAGUAAGUGCAAUAUUGUUGUUUUGCAUAACUUCUGCUUUGUCAGCCUUGCAGAGCUGGGCUGGCACCCUGCUUAUGUUUUGCCUGACUUCUGCUUGCCUAAGUUACCUCCUUUAUCUGUUUCUCCAAGGUUGUGCUGUUCUGUUCUACUGUCCUUGAUACGAGUAAAAUAUUGUUCUGUUCUACUAUCUUUAUCAAGUGAAUAAAAUGCUGUUCUAUUCUGCUGUCCUUUUCACCUCAAAGCUAUUUAAAUUUCAGAGUUUGUGCGUGUGCUCUUAAUUUAUUA